AUUGAACGCUGGCGGCAUGCCUUACACAUGCAAGUCGAACGGUAACGGGCUUUCGGGUGCCGACGCGUGGCGAACGGGUGAGUAAUACAUAGGAACGUGCUCGAACGUGGGGGCUAACGCGGCGACAGCUUUGUUAAUACCGCAUAAGAUAUACGGUUGCAAGCAGGGGACCGCAUGACCUAGCGCGGUCGGAGCGGCAGAUGUCAGAUUAGGUAGUUGGUGGGAAAUAAGCGUACCAAGCCGACGAACUGUAGCUGGUCUGAGAGGAUGAUCGGCCACACUGGGACUGAGACACGGCCCAGACUCCUACGGGAGGCAGCAGUGUGGAAUGUUGGACAAUGGGCGCAAGCCUGAUCCAGCCAUGCCGCGUGCAGGAUGAAGGCCUUCGGGUUGUAAACUUCUUUUGUACGGAACGAAAAGCCUGCUUAUAAUACAGAAGGGUCAUGACGGUACCGGAAGAAUAAGCACCGGCUAACUACGUG
rnacentral:rRNA from 1 species